UACGAAGGGUGCAAACGUUGCUCGGAAUUAUUGGGCGUAAAGCGCACGUAGGCGGCUUUGCAAGUCGGAUGUGAAAUCCCUCGGCUUAACCAAGGAAGUGCAUCCGAAACUGCAGAGCUUGAGUACUUAAGAGGAUCGCGGAAUUCCCGGUGUAGAGGUGAAAUUCGUAGAUAUCGGGAGGAACACCGGUGGCGAAGGCGGCAUCCUGGACCGGCAUUGACGCUGAGGCGCGAAAAGCCAGGGGGAGCAAACGGGG
rnacentral:rRNA from 1 species